GACAGAGGUGCCGAGCGUUAGGCGGAAUCACUGGGCUUAAAGCGUGUGUAGGUGGAUGCCUAAGUACCUUGUGAAAUCCCACGGCUUAACCGUGGAACUGCUUGGUAUACUGGGUGUCUUGAGCCAGCUAGGGGCUACCGGAACAAAUGGUGGAGCGGUGAAAUGCGUAGAUAUCAGGAGGAACACCGAUGGCGAAGGCAGGUCUCUGGGCUGAAACUGACGCUCAUGCACGAAAGCGUGGGGAGCAAACAGG
rnacentral:rRNA from 1 species